UACAGAGGUCCCAAGCGUUGUUCGGAUUCACUGGGCGUAAAGGGUGCGUAGGUGGUUGGGCAAGUCUGAUGUGAAAUCUCCGGGCUUAACCCGGAAAUGGCAUUGGAAACUGCCUGGCUAGAGUGUUGGAGGGGGGACUGGAAUUCUCGGUGUAGCAGUGAAAUGCGUAGAUAUCGAGAGGAACACCAGUGGCGAAGGCGAGUCCCUGGACAACGACUGACGCUGAGAAGCGAAAGCAUGGGGAGCAAACAGG
rnacentral:rRNA from 1 species